rnacentral:rRNA from 1 species
GCUGGCGGCAAGCCUUACACAUGCAAGUCGAGCGGUAACAUUUCUAGCUUGCUAGAAGAUGACGAGCGGCGGACGGGUGAGUAAAGCAUAGGAAUCUGGCCAAUAGAGGGGGAUAGCCCGGAGAAAUCCGGAUUAAUACCGCAUACACUCUAUGGAGAAAAAGCAGGGGAUCUUCGGACCUUGCGCUAUUGGAUGAGCCUAUGUCGGAUUAGUUAGUUGGUGGGGUAAAGGCCUACCAAGGCGACGAUCCGUAGCUGGUCUUAGAGGAUGAUCAGCCACAUCGGGACUGAGACACGGCCCGAACUCCUACGGGAGGCAGCAGUGGGGAAUAUUGCACAAUGGGCGCAAGCCUGAUGCAGCUAUGCCGCGUGUGUGAAGAAGGCCUUAGGGUUGUAAAGCACUUUCAGUAGUGAGGAAAAGUGUUGUGUUAACAGCGCAAUGCUGUGACGUUAGCUACAGAAGAAGGACCGGCAAACUCCGUG